GUACUUACCUGGCAGGGAAGCUAGCAUGAUCAUGAAGGUAGUUUCCCAGGGCGAGGCUUAUCCAUUGUACUCUGGAUGUUCUGACCCCUGCCAUUUCCCCAAAUGUGGAAAACUGGACUGCAUAAUUUAUGGUUAAAAAGAUUUUAAAAAUAAUUUAAU